GUGAAGAACGUAGCGAAAUGCGAUAAGUAAUGUGAAUUGCAGAAUUCAGUGAAUCAUCGAAUCUUUGAACGCACAUUGCGCCCGCCAGUAUUCUGGCGGGCAUGCCUGUUCGAGCGUCAUUACAACCCUCAGGCCCCCGGGCCUGGCGUUGGGGAUCGGCGGAAGCCCCCUGUGGGCACACGCCGUCCCUCAAAUACAGUGGCGGUCCCGCCGCAGCUUCCAUUGCGUAGUAGCUAACACCUCGCAACUGGAGAGCGGCGCGGCCAUGCCGUAAAACACCCAACUUCUGAAUGUUGACCUCGAAUCAGGUAGGAAUACCCGCUGAACUUAAGCAUAUCAAUAAGCGGAGGA
rnacentral:misc_RNA from 1 species